UGCCAUGGGUACGCUCAGUAAGGAAUGAUGUGAUCCAAAAUAAAUAUAUCCAAUCGACCGCCAACAUAGUCACACGUUCGAACGACGCUGACGACGUCGAGAAUGGUCUUUUUCUAUAUAAGAUGACAAAAUUCUUUCCAGUUCCUUCAGUUUGACUCGACCCUAGGAGACGAUUUGUACGGUGAAAAAAAAAAAGCCAACAUGAAGUUUUUCGUGACGUUUGUUUGUCUGUUCGCCCUGGUACUAGCGAUCGCCUAUGGCAUGCCUGCCGUGAACGACGAAAGCAUUGUUGCUGCCCCCCUCGAUGCCGCCCUGAUGGCUGAAGCUGAAAACCCCGAGGAUCCACAGGGUAUUUUAAAACUGUUGCUGCUCAAAAAGAAACUGCUGCUUUUCGGAUAAAAACGGUUUCUAGGUUUAAAUGUUAAUCAUAGUGGUAUUGAUUAAAAGGGCUUGCAAUAAAAUUUCUUUUCUAUGAAACUUAUUUUUUAACGAA